UACGUAGGGUGCAAGCGUUGUCCGGAAUUAUUGGGCGUAAAGAGCUCGUAGGCGGUCUGUCGCGUCGGCUGUGAAAACCCGGAGCUCAACUCCGGGCCUGCAGUCGAUACGGGCAGACUGGAGUGCGGUAGGGGAGACUGGAAUUCCUGGUGUAGCGGUGAAAUGCGCAGAUAUCAGGAGGAACACCGGUGGCGAAGGCGGGUCUCUGGGCCGUAACUGACGCUGAGGAGCGAAAGCGUGGGGAGCGAACAGG
rnacentral:rRNA from 1 species